CAUCCCAUUUUUUGAUGUUGUAGCAGCCAGUGAGGCAGAAUGGUGUGGGAUGGCCAAUCCACUACUCCUGCCACUGUGCCUGGACCACAAUAACCUUCCUGCUGCCUCAUCUCUACCCCUCUCACUCUCGGAUACCAACAACAACCUCCACAUUGGGAAGCCAAAAGUUUCUUCAUUGCCUCAGAACUCUAGUUCCAGCCAUGGCUCACCAUGUUGUGAAGACCACAAUGGCAGAAGAGACAGUGACCAGAGACUGACAAAUUACAGGCCAGCUGAGCCAGCACUAUACUCUUAUGUGGUGGUGCCCUGAGGCCAAGAAAUCCCAGUUUUUGGUAACAAAGCCCUUCCAUCAGAUGCUGCUGCAAAUUCCAACAACAGCUGCAAUGAAGGGAAGACUUGCCUGUCCCAUUGGUUGAGUGAGAUUCAGCUGCUCAGUCCUCCUGCUUUGCCUUGGAGAACAACACUAAGGAAUCCUGUCACUAUAAGAACAUUUCUUUAAUAUCA